rnacentral:rRNA from 1 species
AUGGAGCCGGACAGGAAAGAAUGGAAUGAAACUCUCAUCACACAGAUUUUCCAUCCCUUCGAUGCUGAUGAAAUCUGCAAACUUAGCAUCCCGUCGUCAGAGGUUGGUAACUGUAUUGCUUGGCACUAUGAGAAGAAUGGCAUUUUCUCAGUCAAGAGCCCGUACAAUCUCGCUGCUGCUUACCAGGAUCAGUUGUCUCAUAGCCCAUCAUGUUCCACUAGAGACCCAAAUGACUGUAGCAUAUGGGAUCUCAUAUGGAAAGCAAAAGUCCCUGGGAAAGUCCGCAUCUUUGCGUGGAGGAUUGCCACUAAUACACUUGCCACAAAGAAAAACAAGUGGAAGAGGACCCUAGAAGUUGAUGCCACAUGCAGUAUAUGUGGUAACGGAGUGGAAGACGAGCACCAUGCGGUUAUAGUGUGUAUGAAGAGCAGAGCCUUACGUGUUGCUAUGAGAGAAAUCUGGAGUCUACCAGCCGAAGGCAAGCUUCGCUAUAUGGGCGAGGACUGGCUGCAAGUCGCUCUGGACACUGAAUGCGAGGAGGUGCACGCCAAAUUGCUGCUGCUACGCUGGCAUUGCUGGCAUCACAGAGAGGACUACGUGCGCAAGGAUGGGAACAAACCAAUCAGAAACUCUGUUCUUUUCCUAAAGCAAUAUGAGGAGGACCUUAGGGAUGUGGACCGAAUAGUUGACACCCCAAAAGGACUCAUGAAUGCUAUGAUUCGGGCAGGAAACCAUCUGAGAUAA